AUUGAACGCUGGCGGCAUGCCUUACACAUGCAAGUCGAACGGUAACAGGUCUUCGGAUGCUGACGAGUGGCGCACGGGUGCGUAAUACAUCGGAACGUGCCCGAUCGUGGGGGAUAACGAGGCGAAAGCUUUGCUAAUACCGCAUACGAUCUACGGAUGAAAGCGGGGGAUCUUCGGACCUCGCGCGGACGGAGCGGCCGAUGGCAGAUUAGGUAGUUGGUGGGAUAAAAGCUUACCAAGCCGACGAUCUGUAGCUGGUCUGAGAGGAUGAUCAGCCACACUGGGACUGAGACACGGCCCAGACUCCUACGGGAGGCAGCAGUGGGGAAUUUUGGACAAUAGGCGAAAGCCUGAUCCAGCCAUGCCGCGUGCAGGAUGAAGGCCUUCGGGUUGUAAACUGCUUUUGUACGGAACGAAAAGCCUCUUUCUAAUAAAGAGGGGUCAUGACGGUACCGUAAGAAUAAGCACCGGCUAACUACGUG
rnacentral:rRNA from 1 species